GUUAAGUGAUAAUUAAGGCUGCUAACUUUGAUUAGGGGUAUAAAUACUCCACUUAAUU
rnacentral:tRNA from 1 species